GUGCCAGCAGCCGCGGUAAUACGGAGGGUGCAAGCGUUAAUCGGAAUUACUGGGCGUAAAGCGCACGCAGGCGGUUUGUUAAGUCAGAUGUGAAAUCCCCGGGCUCAACCUGGGAACUGCAUCUGAUACUGGCAAGCUUGAGUCUCGUAGAGGGGGGUAGAAUUCCAGGUGUAGCGGUGAAAUGCGUAGAGAUCUGGAGGAAUACCGGUGGCGAGGCGUCCCUUGACGAGACUGACGUUCAGGUGGAAAGCUGGGGAGCAACAGAUAGAUAACCUGUAGUCACGCGUAGUCC
rnacentral:rRNA from 1 species